rnacentral:lncRNA from 1 species
CCUCAAAUCUAAAAAAUAAAAAAAUAUAUAUAUAAAUCAGACUCCUAAAUCUAUACAUUAACUAAAAAAAUAUAUAUGAAGCUCUUAAACUUGAUUCGCCUCCGUUUGGUUGGGGGUUAAGAGGUGGAAUAACUCUUUAACCCUCAUUUUAUCCCCAAACACUUUUAAAAAUGGGUGGGGUUAGCUAACUCUUCCUCAAAUGGGUUAUCCCGGAUUAGCUAACCCCACCUAACCCCACCAAACCCCAACCAGACAUUAUUUUAUAUUCAUAAUAACUCACUAUCCACCAAACAUUAUUUUUUACUAUCCUGGACUAACUCCAACUUCCAACUAAAUACAAAAAUACUCUAACCCCACCUUAACCCUAAACUUAACCCUAUUUUUGGAAUAACUAGUUUUUCCUUAACCCCGAACCAAACGGUAGUGAAGUGAUAGUAAUAGAAAACAAAAUAAGAAA